UGAUGUGUCCCGUGAUGGUGGUGGACUUGCACGGCCGAUGUGCACUUAUCAUUAAAUUGUAUCACCAGAAAGGCUUUUCCCUUCCGCCUUCCAUUACCAUCUCCACUUCUAGUUCGCCACCACCACCACCAUCAUUGCGACCAAAAAGGCAGACAGAGACCACCCCAGACAUUUAUUAUAUAUAUUUCCUAUCUCAUUCCCCAUCACUAAUUCCUGUCCGGCACAUAUAUACCACCACAUUUUAUCAUUUAAUCCACAUGACCGGACCCGGCUUACGUUGACUCAGUAGUGACUCAGAGGACUCCUUCUACCCUUUCUGUACAUUUACAACUCUUUACACAACAAUUUUAUGAUGGUCCUUCCUUCAACUGGUUAUAUUUCCAGGACCAGAAAAACCCUUUUUUAAAUUCAUCACGUCUUACACACCUUCUUACCAUACCUGCAGCCAAAACCAGUAAAGGUGACAAACUCUCUGGCAAUCAAUGAAUGGAUGCGCACAGUAAAAGUAAUAAAAAACACAGCAAGAAAUGUAACUGUAGAAUUUUUCUGUAUGCACUUUACUUCAAGUUCAAGAUCAAUAAAAAAAGAGAGGAGAAUAAAGAGGAAGCAUUUUACAAGAGAUGUAUUAUUAUAUUAUCGACAUACCUUGAGUUAGAAUAGAUGGACAGUUCCAGUAGCGGUUGGAUAGGUUGUUAUUAUUGAAGGUUAAUGAUGUCGGUAUAUCAACGAUGACAAAAAAAGAGUGGCAGAGUUAUAUAAGAAGAGACAGCAGCACUUGGUUAGCCUUGCGUUUUUAGCCUCAAUAAAUAAACGGAUUCUCCAUCCAUCUGUACAUUGGGAAGGAUUGGAUGGGACGGAAAUAGGUUUGUUUUCGUGUAAUAUCACAGAUGAAUCUUGGUUAGUUUGUUAGUUAGCGGGUGACAAUAUGGUAGGCAAGACACUUGGCAGAAUUAGUAAGAAAAUUAUAACUAUCUAAAAUGUCAUGAAUAAACAAUAUUUAAAAUCUAAAAAUCUAAAAUUUUAAAAUUUUAAAAAACUUAAAAUUCUAUUAACAAUUUAAAGAACCGAAAAGAAAGUAAAAGUUGUCUCGUGUGUGUGUGUGAAUAUUUUUGCUCGAGCGAAGUUUGUCGUGUUGUUGGUUGUGCGUUUGACAGUUUGUAAAUGUGAUUGUUUGGUUGUGACUUUGUCCCGAGGUUUUACUUUUACUUUUUUUGGAGAGAGGAGGGAGAGAGAGAAAGAGAGCCGGGUAAGUUAGUCAGUCAGUUGUCAGUUGUCGGUUCGGUUUAUUUAAGCCGGAGUUCACUAGUCACAGGGCGGGCAUCAGAGCAAGCAGCUCUAAUUUUCCUUCCUUCCGUCCACCCGAUUUCUCCCUUUCUGCACAUGCCCACCCUUCGGAAGCUUUCCAGUCCAGAGCUCUGUCCUCUUCAUUCAUUCAUUAUUAUUAUUCGGACUAAUAACACAGUCAUGAGAUUAUUUAUUAUUCUACAAACGAGACGCCAAUAUUUGCCCAGACAGGAUUUACGAUGAGAGUAGGUUGUCAGAAUGGCUAAAUUUAUGUUUUCGCAGUGACAAGUUGUUGAUUGCAAAAACACGACACGGCGUGCAUAAUUAUGUAUGCGACAAAUUGGCGUACAAUUCAUGACAUUUUGAUUAUCGGGUUUGUUUGUGCGAAUUUUUGCUUUCACUUUGCUUUGGUAAAAUAUUUACGUUUCGAAAAAUAUUUAGAGGAAUAAAUAAAUAACUUUCCCUGAAGUUUUGAAAUGUCCUUUUUUCAUGAAUGUUAGGGAUUUCUUUUAUCAUGUCCGUGGGAGUAGACGGACUCCCCAUAACGCAACAUAAUGAACAACCUACCCGGCUUGAUUAGAGAUUGAGGAGACACAGGAGAGAGCCUGGCAGAGAGUUAAUUUGGAAUUCUUUGUUCCUUUUCCUUCCGGCGAGAGAGAAAAGUUUUUAAUUAAAUAGUUUGUGUAAUGGGCGUCUAGGGUGGGUCAUUACAGGUAAUUUAUUAGCCUUGUCCUACCCGGAUUACUCAAAACUACUACAACAACCCGGGCAUCUUCUUGCACUGUAGGAUGUAAAUUACCCCCGGGAUAAAAUGAGCUUCUCUCUCUCCUCUCUGCUAUGUCAGUCAUGUCGUAUAAUUUUAUUUUAAACGGCCCUCAUUUCCAGAGGCUAUGGACAUUCUUUGGUCAGUCCACCAAUUUCGGAGAAAAUAAUAAAAUAUAUUUUUUUCAAGAUUUUUCAAAUUUUAAAAAUUUCAACUUUAAAUUUCCGAAAACUGUAUUAUGAACGCUCCCCAUUUCUACAAUAUCCAUUUCACUUUCUUGUUCUUCUCGCAAAAUGAAGCGUCCGUCCACUGCUUUACGGACCACACCCGCGUUCUGCUCCUUCUUUAGUACAUGCAGACUUUAUCCUCCAGCAGAUCCUCCUCUUCUCUCGAGUAAAUGUUGCUCCAUUUAGAUUUACAUUUAUGGAUAUGGAUAUCGUCUUCCUUCUCGCAAGGUUUUGUGUAAUAUGGACCAAGAUAAGUUGACGAGAGAAAGAGAAUCAAAUCGUGAAAGUUCCCAGAAAUUUAUGAGACUUAUCUCUCGAACAAAAUGAAACCAUCCGUUUCAUGCACCCCUCAUUCUGCUGUGCAGUUGUUGUUAUCGACCCUUAGAUUUUAGGAGCUUUCACAUUUUAAAGUGGAACACGUGGUAGGAGGAUCACAUAAAGAUUUAUUGGGGGGAAAGAAAGCAAUGACGACGAAUAAUGCAGUCCCCUCUCUGGCCUGGUGGGUAGGACGUGAACUAAAAAUCUGCAAAAUUCUCUCUCUAUAAAAUGAAUGAAAGGUGUAAUGGGGAUUAAUUAGCAUGGAAAUCUUGCUCGUAAAGCAGUCGGCUGAAAAGUUGGAUUAUUAUAAUGGGCUAGGAGUGGUUACUUUUGUGACUAAAGAAGAUUGGCUAUCAACUGCGUCCUCCUCCAAUCCAAUCCGCUCCAUGAAACCACACUGCACUAUUCCAUUGUCCAUUAAAUGGUUAGAAAUGCGUAUAAAAGAGUGAAUUUAAAUUUGCUCCGUGAUUGAAAUUCUUUUCAUUUGAACUUUCUUGGAAUGGAAUUCGGUUAGUAAUAACGUAUGCACCUUCAUUUUUGGACAUUGUUAAAAUGCGUAUGAUGUGAGCCACUCCUUCCAUUAAAACUCUUUCUCGCAUCACAUCCAUAAAAAAUCUCACAUGUUGUGUAAUCCGUAAACCAGUUGUUGUAUGUAUGUAGUUGACAGUUGACAAGUAAAUUUACCCUUAUGUCUAGUCGGGAAUUCUGUACGAAUGCAAUUGUGUGCAGCUUAAUGGGAGGCUCAUGCAGUAUGGCACAUGGACAUUCUUGCGCGUAAUGAGCAUAUUUUGAAAGAAUUUUACGACUUCAUGGGACAAACUUUGAUUUCAUUCUGCCUCUGGAAAUAUUUCAACUCACUCUUUUUUUUGGUGGGUAGGGAAUUCCAGUGUGUAAAACAGGUUUAUUGUAACUUUAAUUCAGUGAUUCGUGCCAUAAUUUCUGUAAACUGGUAAGAACGUGCAUUAAUAAAAUUGCUAAUCUGUUGUGCCCCAUAAAAAACCGUUUGUUCUGUGUUGUUUUAUUUCGUGUAAUAUAUUCCACGCGUAUUUUAUUGUCCAGUUAAUUAUAUUCACGUAGUAAAUUUAUGACAUUGUGUGUGCAUGUAUUUUCUUGAUAAAUACGAGGAAAUUUUCAUUUUGUUGUUGCAACAAUAAAAUUAAUGGACGUGAAUGGAAUUUCAUUUGUGCAUUUUUAACAUAAAACAUGACCAUCCUCUGCUCAUAUAAUCUCUGUUUUUAGUGUACACAUAACCAUUUUUUGCAAGUUUUCUUCUUGGUCACAAUAAUUAUCGAGUAUUCUACCACGCAAUAACUCGCAAUUGAACUUAUUAUCACUUCACCUUCCACCUUAAAAGGCACUUUUGCCCAAAUUCAUCUCUCCCAAAUGAAUGCGCACACACUUCCUCAAAAUUGCGAUUAAUGUCUUUCCCAUCAUCAAAUUAAGUAAAGUUUGAGGAGGAGGAUAUACAGCAAAACAGUCCAAAGUGUAAAGUAAAACCCACCAACCAACCAAUUCAUUCCCUCCUUAACCAAGAAAAAAACAGCGCAUCGCAUAAUAAUCAUUCCCCCUGAAACAAAUGUAACCAUUAAAUUAACCUUGUUGCUAGUUAGUGCACUCUUAAAAGGCGAGAUUGCUGAUAAUGGUUCAAGAAGAAGAAGAAGAGAGGAUUAACUCUCGAGUACAUAUUUAUUUAUUUCUCUAAAAACUUUAUAGUCUUAAAGUGUCAAUUUGAAAAAAAGAACUUGUUGCUAACUCUCAUUGCUAAAUAUUUAAGAGAAACUGGUUCUUCCUCUUUUUUUCUUUAUAUUCAUUCCACAGAGAUAAAAGCAAAUGAGUCCAUUAGACGUGAUUAAACGAUCACUUUAAAUACGGUCAUUCCCAUUCAGUUCUUGCACUUAUUGGGCAGAGAUGAAAAAAGAAAUGGCAAGAAAUAAGUACAUAAACGAAUCUUUCUAAUCACCCUAAUUUAUUGACAGACCAACUUUCUUGAGCAUAGUGCGAUGAUAAAUUCUAAUUACCUUAACUUUUGCGAAGUGUGGCUUUAAGUGUCCGUCAAAUGUAUUUCACUAACGACUAAAAUGCAGUAAUUAUUGGAAACAACAAUGAGAAGAAAAACAGUUAAGGGACU